GAACCAUGAGGAAUGAAUGUCUGCCAUCCAGGUCGCCCAGUCCGUGGUGUUUGUCAUAGCCACUCGAGCAGACUCGGACAGUGUCACCUCCACACCUCCUGUGGCUCUCCCUGCUCUGCCCAAGAACUACGGACUGGCCAUUCUCCUGUUGGAUGCACCUGUUCCCACCAUCCUGUCUGGACUCCAGCUCCCACCUGCCACAUGGACACAUCAUCCCUCAUCCCUGAACUAGGCUCUGUGGGGUGAUGUGGUUCAGAUUCUGUCCCAUGAGGAGAGGCUGGCAGUGCUGCCUAGUAACCAGAGAGGUGUGUGCCAGCAUCCCCAGAUGCCUGGACCAGGUAAGGUGCAAGCAGGAGCAAUGGGGCCUCAACUGCAUGUGAGCCCGGGAAUACCAGCACUCGUGGACUUGAACGAAUCCACUGGCAUUAGCCAUGUGGCUGACCAUUCAUUAUCUGGACCCACUUGCUUUGCAGUAAAAGGUUAUUUAUGGAUUGCAGAUCUUGAGCAUGAGAUAUCAAGUUGACAAGAUUAGCAUCUUUCUCUGCUCACAGUUUAGAUUCCUGGGAUCUCCAGAUUGGGAGCCCAUGUAACCCAAACGUAGAUCAAAGGCUUCUCUGUGUUCUGCAGCCCUGCGUUCUCCCCGGCCUGGACUUAAUCAAGUGCAGUCAGAGCUCUCCCGGCCAUGGAAAACAAGCUUCAACUUCAAAGUCUUUCUCUAUAAAAAUGUGAAUCUACAUUACUCCAAAACCCACCUCACUGUGAUUUCCAUUUAUACCUUCAUCCUGCGUGUCCAGCCCCCACCCCAGAGCUUGUAAAAUAAGUUACAUUUCCUUCACUUGCGGUGGGAUGUCCUCAAAUGUGCCAUCAGAAUGCCUCUCAGACCUCUGCUUUCCCAGGCUGACCAUGUGCAGCCCUGCAGACUGUGUGCUGUUCGUUACCUUGUCCAGAGCUUCUUGCAUUUUUACCUUUGACUUUCGGGAACAGUCCAGCGUGGCAAAGACCGUCUCUCAUCCCCAGAGAGAGCCCUCCAGAUGCCCCACUUCUAUAAAGGAAGUCCCAGAUCACAUCCACGCUUGAAUUUUGUCUGUGUUUUGGUAGUGACUUCAUGAGACUUGUCAGUCACUCUAAGUGUGAAGAUAAACUGCUUUCACAACAGUUGGGGCAUGCAGGCUGGCUUGCACAGGCUCCCUUUUCUCACCUCUGAUGCCACAGGGAGUCCAGGUGUGGAGGCUGACCUUCAAAGGGGAGGAUGACACCUGAGCCCUCUUGGGAAGUGGGUGAAAAUACACAGUUUUGAGCAGAGGACGUGUUGGUUAGGCUUGAGUGAGAGAAACUCAGGCUAGAAUCCACGCUGCCCCUAUGAGGUGAGCACAUCUGGGUCCCACUUCUUCAGCUUUUUUUGGGUCUGUGCCCACAGAAUGUGGAAGUUCCUGGGCCAGGGAUCGAACCCAAGCCAGUAAUCCGAGCCACUGCAGUGACAAUGCUGGAUCCUUAACCCACUGAGCCACCAGGGAAUUCCCCAUUUCUUCAUCUUUAAAGUUGAGUCCAUCUGACGUGAAUACCAUUUAAGGAUUUUAUUUAUAAGACCUCCAAUUUAUUGAACAAUGUCUCACUCAAUAACUGUUACAAUGAUUUCCUUUGAUUGAAACAAGGGUAUGAGAUAGGCAUGUUGAUACUCAAAAUAUUUAAUAACCUGCACAGGUAACAAUGAACCAGAUAUGGAUGUGGAUGGUGGAUGUAGCCAUAGAUGCGGCAGCCACAUACCAAGCGGAUAUCCAUCAGCCUUGGAAGUUGGUAUUAUUGUCAUUUUGCAAGCAGGGAAACACAUCAGUGAGUUAAGUGUGCCAAAUAAAUUUCUAUAUACUUGAAACAAGAGGACAGCUCAAGCAUUUGGGAGAGAAGAAAUUUCCUUCACUGGCUGUGCGUUGGAUAUUUGGGUUGGAGUACCGCGUAGAAAUAUGUCCACUACCAAUGCACCUAUCUUUUAAUCUUUGAAAAGGUUCAGUGUGAAGCCUGUCUCAUAUCAGGCUCUAAGGAAUAGCAUCACAUUUUCUAAAUGAGCAAGUGCCUUAUGAUUUGCAACAUUUUAUAACAUAAUAAUAUCAGUAGUGUCAUUGCUGACAUGUUAUUUCAGCACAGUGGGAGCUGGCCACUGUUUAGACUGAGGAAACGAAGACGAUGAGGAUGGAGUGAGGCUUAAUAAAUGCAUUCCCAAGACCGCACUUGCUGUGCUUGUGGAGAAUGACCCAGAGUAAAUGCUGAAAAUGUGUGGUGUAUCCACGAAAGUCUUGAGGGUAAAUGUUGAAGCUAUAGCUGGAAUCAUACACGCUGAUGUUAAAUUAAAGUCAUUGGCAUUAGGGAAUCUGUUUCAGAAAUGCACAGAAUCCAUGAGCAGCAAUGUAAAUCUAGAGGUUCGUACUGAACACACACCUAUGCCUUUUAAAAAUUUAAAUGUUCAAAAUGUGCUGAGCCCCCAGGCAUUUGUAUCGAAAUACAUGACAUGUAUGCCCUAAGACAUAAAAAUUAACUGUCCUAGUUCUCACUGGUGGGAACCGACUCUUCCGGUGUAAUUUCCAUUCAUAUCAUAUUAAAAUGUUCAAGAUG
rnacentral:lncRNA from 1 species